rnacentral:rRNA from 1 species
UACGUAGGGAGCAAGCGUUGUCCGGAAUCAUUGGGCGUAAAGCGCGCGUAGGCGGCCCUGUAAGUCCGCUGUGAAAGUCAAAGGCUCAACCUUUGAAAGCCGGUGGAUACUGCAGGGCUAGAGUCCGGAAGAGGCGAGUGGAAUUCCUGGUGUAGCAGUGAAAUGCGUAGAUAUCAAGAGGAACACCAGUGGCGAAGGCGAGUCCCUGGACAACUUCUGACGCUGAGGCACGAAAGCUAGGGGAGCAAACAGG